CAGCCGCCACGGUAAUACGUAGGUGGCAAGCGUUGUCCGGAAUUAUUGGGCGUAAAGGGCUCGCAGGCGGUUUCUUAAGUCUGAUGUGAAAGCCCCCGGCUCAACCGGGGAGGGUCAUUGGAAACUGGGAAACUUGAGUGCAGAAGAGGAGAGUGGAAUUCCACGUGUAGCGGUGAAAUGCGUAGAGAUGUGGAGGAACACCAGUGGCGAAGGCGACUCUCUGGUCUGUAACUGACGCUGAGGAGCGAAAGCGUGGGGAACGAACAGGAUUAGAUACCCGCGUAGUCCCUGACUCUUAUAC
rnacentral:rRNA from 1 species